UAAGCGGAGGAAAAGAACUAACAAGGAUUCCCUAGUAGCGGCGAGCGAACCGGGAGAAGCCCAGCUUGAAAAUCGUGUCGUUUCGGCGGCACGAGUUGUAGUCUGGAGAAGUGUCCUCUGCGGCGGACCCGGCCUAAGUCCCCUGGAAAGGGGCGUCAGAGAGGGUGAGAACCCCGUCGGGCCGGGACCCUGCUGCUCCACGAGGCGCUGUCUACGAGUCGGGCUGUUUGGGAAUGCAGCCCUAAGCGGGAGGUAAAUUCCUUCCAAGGCUAAAUACCGGCGAGAGACCGAUAGCGAACAAGUACCGCGAGGGAAAGAUGAAAAGGACUUUGAAAAGAGAGUUAAAAAGUGCUUGAAAUUGCUGGGAGGGAAGCGAAUGGAGGCCUCGUGUGCGCCCCGGUCGGAUGCGGAACGGCGUGAGCUGGUCCGCCGCUCGACGCGGGGUGCUGGUCGGCGUGGGCUUUUCCGGCGGGACAAAAGUCGGCCUUCAGUGGCCGGCCGAUGCCGUCCGANAAGCCGAGGAACCGAAAUGCGUGCCUGCGGGUUUCCGCGGGCGGACUCCUCCGGGANUUCCUGCGUACUCGGGACCCGGCGUAUUGGGCUUUUCAUCCGACCCGUCUUGAAACACGGANCAAGGAAUCUAACAUGCAUGGAAACCGGUGGGCGGGCAACCCACNUUGAAGCGAAAAUAACUUGACUGGUGUGAUCCUCCUUGUUUUAGCGGGGUGCAACAUCGACCGACCAUGAUCUUCUGUGAAAGGUUCGAGUAAGAGCAUGCCUGUUGGGACCCGAAAGAUGGUGAACUAUGCCUGAGCAGGGCGAAGUCAGAGGAAACUCUGGUGGAGGCUCGUAGCGAUACUGACGUGCAAAUCGUUCGUCAGACUCGGGUAUAGGGGCGAAAGACUAAUCGAACCAUCUAGUAGCUGGUUCCCUCCGAAGUUUCCCUCAGGAUAGCUGGAGCACGAGGAGUUUCAUC
rnacentral:rRNA from 1 species